rnacentral:rRNA from 1 species
AAACAUUGUCAAUUUAUUAAUUGAUAAAACCUGCUCGGUGAAGUAAAAUUUUAACAGCCUCAGUAUUUUGACUGGGCAAAGGUAGCAUAAUUACUUGUUUUUUGAAUAGAAACUUGUUUGAAGGGUUAAACUUAUUUUUUUAAUGAAAAUAAUUUUGAAUUUUCUUUAAAGUAAAAAAGCUUUAGAAAAAAAAAAGAAGAGAAGACCCUUAAAGCUUUGGAAAUUUAAAUGGGGUAUUUGAAAUAAUUUUUUUUGAUUAUAUAGAAGAAAAAGCUACUUGAGGGAUAACAGGAUAAUAUUAAAUAAAGAUCAUAUUUACUUUAAUGUUUUUUACUUCGAUGUUGAAUUAAUUUUUCCUUUUUGUGCAACAGCAUAUAGGGUUAGCCUGUUCGGCUAUUAAAAAAUUACAUGAUUUGAGU